CCUUGUUCUGAUUACCGAGUCUCUUUCUUUUCCAACUUUGUUUCUUUAGAAAAUGAUGAAUAAAAAGCCUUUGCCUCCAUCUCUCUUCCUCCCUGCCACACCUCUUGAUAUUUGCUCUUGAGCUCGAAAGUUCAUCUUACUCUGGCCUUGAAGAAGCUAUGGCAUCAUCUUACUCUCGAGUUUGAAAGUUCAUCGCCCUCGCCAUUUUCCAGGUUGCAUUGUAAAGUUGAAUAUUCACUAUGCUUCAAGAUGCAGAGUCUACCGAAGACCAAUUUGAUUCAGUAAAAUUUAAGUUAGGAGUCAUAGCGUCAAAAUCAUACACAAGCUUCAUGGACUUAGCAGCUGGAGGAUAUUUGGAUUUACCUCAAACUCCCAGAAACCUUCCCAAGGUGAUUAUUGUCUAUAUGUACCUGAUGCAGACUCCAACCAAUGUAAAGUUAUUGUUUUAGAUUCUUCCACAUCGAGAUAUCGUGACAGAAAAAUUGCAGUGUCGAAUUUUCUUCCAAUAAAUUCUCAAAAGGAGGCUAAAUCUAGUAACUGGAGCUUCUUCUAGUAAUAUAAAUCCAAAUUACAUGACACUAGUUAGAUUCCAUCUAAUAUCCAUAUUUGCUCAAUGGUAUAAAAAUAAUCCUUCAACUCUAUAUAUAUAUCCAAAAAAAUUCUCCAAACCGACCAAUGUACCAACUUCUUGUUCUCCAAAGCAAUAAAUUAAAUAAAACUACUGUAACAUAACAUUCUUCAAAGUACUUCAAAUGUGUUAACUUGCUACGAGAUUCCCAAAACAUUUGUUAGAAAAUUUCAAUAUGCACUAGCUACAAAGAUCAUUCAUGAUGAACGUCCAGAAGAUCAUUUUCUUCAUCUUCAUGAAUCUAAUCAUUGAUAACUUGUUUUUGCAUGAAAAAAAAUGUAACCAAAGUAUCCCUUGUCUCGUCAAUCAUCGCUUGAGAAUAAGUGGCAGAAGCUUGAGGAAAGUACUACAUACAAGACAUAAAAAUUAUUAGAAUAGGUAUGUGUUAAAGGAUAUAAAUUAAUCAAGUCAAUGCGAAGUAAAAUUCCCCAUGAAAAAACUACUAAUCAAAUACAAUUGCAUUUCUGACAAGUUCUAUGUAGACCCAUGGAUGACCAUCAAUUUGAUUGACUCAAGAAACAACCAAAUUAGUAGAGGAAAACAAGAGAAGAAUGAGGGUGCUAAGGCAAAACAUAAUUCAAGAUUAGCAACUGUUAAAACCAAAAAAAAAGGGAUGAAAUUAUUACCCUGGCAGAAGCUCCUUCAGGAUUCCUAAGAACAACAAGAGUCAAGAGGAUUACCAUUCCAGUCCAUAGUAUAAAGUUUGUAGAGUGUCCCAUUUUCUGACAGACAAUAAUGGUGUUCUUUUUCCUUUCUCUCUCUAAGGCUUAAUUCCUCUCACUACUUUCUCUCUCUGCCUUUACCCCCUUUUAUAGACCCAAAAACUGGAUAAAAUUUGUGGAUUAAGCAAACAACCCAGUUGGUGACUCAGGACUCUAAGCACCUUUCUUGUGACUAAAACUUAUGAAUUUUGUGACUUCUUAUCAAAAACUUGAGUUUAAUUAUUUAAAGAUAGUACGAGUUGAAGGUCACAACAUUCUAUUGUGUGCAUCGAUCAUUGUAGUCCACUCUUGCAGUAAAGACAACAAGGAAAUAAAUUGUAAAACAAAAUGAACAAUCAGUUUGGGGAAAUGGUAAUGAAACGGGCUUGUCCAUAGCCUAGUUUGUAAUCCCCCGCAAAUUUAAAAAUUUUAUUAAUAUAUUUUAACGUGUAGUUAUUUAUAUUUAAAUAGAAUUUAUGAAUUUUAGUAAUAAAUAUAUAAUUAACAUAUAUUUAUUUUAUUUAAUUACAUUCUAAAUAUUUUAACGAUUUAUGCAAUCAAAAAUGAUUUUAGAAUUUCAUGUUGAAAAGAAUUUGAAUUGCGAAAAUACGUUUGAACUUGGAAAACAAUCCUAAUCGGUUUUGGAUUAAAACAAACUCAGUUCUAAUCCUAUCCCAUAUUGAUAAAGCCCAAAACAAAUAACCCAUAAUCCUUCACCCUUGUUCAAUUCCACGUGAAACACAAUUCCCUCAACUUCACGUGAAAAAUAAGAGAACAAAUCUCUCAAACCCUGCUUCACCAUACACGUGAACUCUUAAGCCUUACCUCAGCCGCCGGCCGCUGUCCUCGCAGACCCUCGUCGGCGUUUCUGCCGCCCUCCACCGUCCGCCACCAGCCGCCGCACCACCACCUCCGCCGCCGACGUCGAGUAGUCACCCUCACUGCGUCGCCGCCGCUGACAACACCAGCCGACGCCCUCCUUCAUCUCUCCCUCUGGCUCGUGGAACUCUUCCACUUCACUGCUUCUUUGUUUCUUGCUCACAGCCACGUGCGGCCGCCUAACCAACCACCGCACGGUUACCAUUGCUCGCCGCCGCGCCACCCUGUCCACCGGCAACCUCUUGAUUUCUUCUUUAUUAAGUUAUUUCUUGAACCCUAAGCUAAUUAUAUUAAACCUCUUGUUUUGAUUGAAUUAAAUUUAUGAUUUUUGUGAUUUAUUUAUGAAUUUCAUAUUUUAAUAUUGCAUAAUUGAAUUACUAAUUUUUAGAUUAUAUAUUUUGAUUAAAAUAGGGGUUUUAAUUAUUAAAGCAUGGAUUUUUAAGGUUUUUAUAGUUUUGAAACCAUGGUAGGAUGAUUAUAAGUGAUUAAAGUUAUUGUUGUAAUGAUUUCAAACAUGUUAAUUAUGUUUUGGAGUAGUUUGAAAUUAGUUAUAUUGCUGGAAAUUUAAAGUAUGAUGCUUUGAAGAGUUUUCAACGAAUUUCAAUAAUUAAUAUAAUAAUUAUGAUGCUAGGAAAUAAAAUAUUCAAGUUUUGAUAUUGGGAAAUGUUCUAAUUAUGUUUAGGAAGGGUUUGAAGCUCCCUAAUGUUGCUGAAAAUUCAAUAUGAAUUGAUAUGAGUCUAUAUUGGUUGUUGUUAGGUGGAGAAUUCUCCGUAGGCGACUUUUGAAUUAUUAAAGUGAUCUCGCAUUUUGUUUACACAAGGUACUUACAUACCUGUGUGCUUGGAAUGUGUGUUAUUUGUUAAAUCCAUGUUGAAAUUUGUUGAUGAACUUGGCUAUGUUGGAAUUACAUAUUUAAUAUUGUUGGAUGGACGUGUUGAACAUAUAUAUUUUGUUAAGGGAAUUAUAACAUGUUAGUAGAUGAUUGAUGCGAACAUGUUGGUUGGGAACAUUAGAUUAUUAUAUAUAUUGAUUCAGAUCGAUUGUUCGUUGUUCCCUUUUAGCUUUUCACUACUUUAUAAGGGCCGAGGACCUUGUUUAGUAAGUUGAAACCUUAUACCCAUAUAGAGGGGUUGAUCAGUAUUAAAGGAAAGGUUGGAUUAAUUGGAAUAAGUCUUGAUUGACAUCUCUGUGAUCACUUACUUAAUUCUAAGAUAAAAACAGUGGAGAAUAAUUAUUGAUUGUAUGACUUAUGUGAUUGUUGAGUCAUAACAGAGUUUAAUUUGUAAAUCAUGUAAAGUGAAACUGAGUAACAAUAGCUUUAGACUGUGCACGUCUAAAGUGACGGACAAUCAGGAGUUGGGCUCAUGGGUCGCCUAUGGAUUUCUUUGGGACGGAUUGAUCACCGGUUCUAUUUUAGUCAAAAGUUCCUCGAUAUCGCAGGUCAUUGGGGUUUAUGGAGUCGCGCCCGUACCUCGUCUUCCUUAGUGAAGAAGUUUCUAGUAGACAACUCAGUCCAUUGACUAUUUCAAUUAAAAUAAUGUUAAUGAUACAAAGGUCUAGUUCAGUCAAGUAUGGUUUUCAAGUCAAUAUGUUUUGGUUAUCCUUGCUUAUGUUUUAUUAGUAUCAUGUUAGGGUUGUUCGUUUAAUAGUAUCAUGUUAGGAUUGUUAUUGUUUCAGUAUGUAGUACUCAGCUUUGCUGAUUUUGUGCUUUGUUUGUGUGUGUUGAUCAUGGCUAUGCC